CCUGCACCACCAACUGAUCAGCGCUCCUGGCCAAGGUCAUCAAUGACAACUUUGGUAUCGUGGAAGGACUCAUGACCACCGUCCACGCCAUCACUGCCACCCAGAAGACCGUGGAAGGCCCCUCCAGGAAACUGUGGCGUGAUGGCCUUGGGGAUCUCCAGAACAUCAUCCCUGCCUCUACUGGUGCUGCCAAGGCCAUGGGCAAGGUCAUCCCCGAGCUGAACAGGAAGCUCACUGGCACGGCCUUCCGUGUCCCCACUGCCAACGUGUCAGUGGUGGACCUGACCUGCCUUCUGGAAAAACCUGCCAAAUAUGAUGACAUCAAGAAGAUGGUGAAGCAGGUGUUGGAGGGCACUCUCAAGGGCUUCUUGGGCUACACUGAGCACCAGAUGGUGUCCUCUGACUUCAACAGCGACACCCAUUCUUCCACCUGGGGCUGGCAUUGCCCUCAACGACCACUUUGUCAAGCUCAUUUCCUGGUAUGACAAUGAAUUUGGCUACAGCAACAGGGUGGUGGACCUCAUGUCCCACAUGGCCUCCAAGGAGUAAGACCCCUGGACCACCAGCCCCAGCGAGAGCACGAGAGGAAGAGAGGCCCUCACUGCUGGGGAGUCCCUGCCACACUGAGUCCCCCACCACACUGAAUUGCCCCUCCUCACAGUUUCCAUGCAGACCCCUUGAAGAGGGAGGGGCCUCCGGAGCCCCACCUUGUCAUGUACCAUCAAUAAAGUCCCCUGUGCUCAGCCAAAAA